rnacentral:rRNA from 1 species
UACGUAGGGGGCAAGCGUUAUCCGGAUUUAUUGGGCGUAAAGAGCUCGUAGGCGGCCGUUCGCGUCGGAUGUGAAAGCUCAGGCUCAACCCUGAGACGCCAUUCGAUACGGGACGGCUAGAGGUAGGUAGGGGAAAGUGGAAUUCCUGGUGUAGCGGUGAAAUGCGCAGAUAUCAGGAGGAACACCGGUGGCGAAGGCGGCUUUCUGGGCCUUACCUGACGCUGAGGAGCGAAAGCUGGGGGAGCGAACAGG